UCCUGGAUUUGGAUUUGUGGCAGGCCCCUUCCCUUGGACCUCUGAUAGUGCCCAGCCCAGGGCAGACGAGCCCAGAACCACUGCUGACUCUACCCUUAGGCUGCUGGCACUGAAGCAGGUUGCACAAUG
rnacentral:snoRNA from 1 species